UCGGGAAUCUACAUCGAGGUUAUACGCCAAUUGAAGGUAAUCAAAUACGAAGUCGUGUUGACCCUAGUACAAAAGGUUUAAUUUCCCUUCAAAAAGGCACUUUGAACGAAUUCGUCAUCGUUGGUUUUACAUAGUCGCGCGAGGUGCCUGACCGAGCUCACUCCUCCAAAACAACGAGGUAAAACGAUUUAUUCCCAAUCAUUGAAUUCGUCAAUCUAACAUUAUUAUGCCUUCAUCCAAGCUUCGACUCGAUCAGCACCCCAAAAACUGCAAGGAAGUAGAUCCUGCGACAAAACGAUCACGAGCAUCACAACAGCGAGAAAGGUUCAAUUCGAUCAGCACGAUCAGUAUCCUCAUCUCCAGGAAGGAGAUUAAGAUUGCAGCCAGGCACACAUCUCGUUAGCACCAGACGACAGCCAGUGGAUCUGAAAAUCAUACACAUCGAAAGAAGUGCAUCUCGACUAAAAGACGUGCGAUCGCUGCGUUCCCGACUAGGAGCACCACUACGUCGACAAAGCCCUCCUGAGAGGGCUUUUGUUUAGGUGCCGUUUGGUGGAAACAAGCCGCCACACUAUUUGGAUAGCUGUAAGGCGCAAUUGUAGUUCCAAGGAGAGAGGGUUCGAUCCAAAAACAUCUCCCACUCUAGUGUUUUCGUGAUAUCAGCAUACGCCGACUGUCCAGUCCAGCGUGUGCGAUCGUACUAGAAGAGAGGUCGGACUCACUCCCACCCAGUGAUGCCACAUUUCAAUCGGUAUUUUUGAACCCAAAAAAAUCUUUUUU